UACGUAGGGUGCAAGCGUUAAUCGGAAUUACUGGGCGUAAAGCGUGCGCAGGCGGUUUUGUAAGUCUGUCGUGAAAUCCCCGGGCUCAACCUGGGAAUUGCGAUGGAGACUGCAAGGCUAGAAUCUGGCAGAGGGGGGUAGAAUUCCACGUGUAGCAGUGAAAUGCGUAGAGAUGUGGAGGAACACCGAUGGCGAAGGCGCGAGCCCCUGG
rnacentral:rRNA from 1 species